AGCUUGAAUCACGAGACACGUAUUCGUAUGUCAUGUGCUUCUUCACCAAUCCACACUAACCUACCACACGGCACCCUGCAUUCCAGACGGGGAAGUCCCGCCUCCUUGGAUUGCACCACUCUGUGCAACUCAAAACCAGACUACUCCAAUCCAUGCAAAUAAUGUUAGUACAAUCACAAUACACUGCUUCAUUUUAGAGACAUCAUUCAUCACUCAGCAGUCUAUUACGUUAGCAAUUGGUGACAAUCGUGGCACUUUAAGGCCCUAAAGAAUAGCGCCAUCUCGCAACCUGCAGUCAGGGGUAUAUAACCUCAGCCAGGGCCGGCGAGCAGCACUCUACAGCGCUAUAGACAGAGAGAAGCGCGUUGGAAGGGUUCGUCGUCGUCGUCGUCUUAGCUAUUUUAGGAGGGGUUAGGUUUCAGUACCCAAAAUUACCUCUUCAAAAUUCCAUACAUUGGAACAACGGGGUCUUCACUAUGUGGUUUCUGAAACCGGAUCCGGAUUCGUGGUCACAACAUUCCAAGAUCGAAGGGUCAUUUCGGGGAACAAGUAUGAGGCCAGGGUUAGGUUGUAGGAAGCAACGCCACCUUCAACAACAAAGAUGGAGGGGCGCCACCCAGAAAGCCACAGAGGGUGGCCGUAACAACCGAUCUUGCGCUACCCCGAAAACAAAGGGGGGCUACAACAACAACCAGCCGCAAGUUCCCUCUGCCAUGCAGCGAACACCAUGCUGGAUGACUCCUUCACGCACCGGGUGUGACCACCUCGAAUUCCGGACCAGCGGAACCACAUCCUGGAGGGCGAUGACGCAUCAAGUACAAGUGUAAGGGCUCCGAGGACCUCGACCAGCCAUCAUAAAUCCAAGGUGUGACAUUGGAUUGCUUGUCUUUGGGAUACGGAACCUUAUAACUGCACCUGCAUGACGAGUCUCUCCUGGAGAAGUGACUCCACAGGGCCUCAUAUAUUAGACCACAAGGCCGAACCUGCACUGAAUGUCCAAAGUGCGACAGUGGAUAGCAGGUUAUGGACUGAGACGAGUAUAUUUGACCCAGAGAGUGCCAUUAAGAGCCUACAGCCUUCAGGUCUCUGAGGAUGAGCUACGGGUCAUACGGUCGAGCUCUCUAAGGUCCAAAUAGUUGCCAAGAUGUGACUUUGGCACGGGCCUUGAGGGCAUGGCCGCGACUCACGCUCUGAGGCGGAGACUCACGGCUGCUGGUUGCUCAGCACCACCAGGCACACGUUGAUCUGGUACUCGAAGGGUUACACCUGAAAAUAUAUACUAGUGCGCUUGAAGAGAAUGGGAGGAUGGUAAAAACAUUCCAUUCGUCUCAAAAAGUCUUCAUAACAGCUUAUCAAAGCUUUAUCGUGGCGUUUGUAUACGAGGAAACGCUAGCUCCAUUCGUCUCAGUAGUCUAUACAAAGGUUAGUCAAAGCUACUACGUAGCUACAGGAUAUCCCAAAACGACUAAUGAUGAUGGCUGACUCCAGAAGUUUUCCUUAAUUAAUGACAGAACUUCGUCUGGAUUUAUCAAGAUUACUUAUCACAAGCUUCAAAAAUGGUUAUGUACACGAGACCAAAUAUUAAUGAAUAGAUGUAAAAAUCCAA